GACGAAGGGGGCGACCGUUGUUCGGAAUCACUGGGCAUAAAGAGCACGUAGGCGGCAAGGUAAGUCGGGUGUGAAAUCCCUCGGCCUAACCGAGGAAUUGCGCCCGAAACUACCGUGCUUGAGGAUGGAAGGGGAGCGUGGAAUUCCUGGUGGAGCGGUGAAAUGCGUUGAUAUCAGGAGGAACACCGGCGGCGAAGGCGACGCUCUGGUCCAUUUCUGACGCUGAGGUGCGAAAGCCAGGGGAGCAAACGGG
rnacentral:rRNA from 1 species